rnacentral:lncRNA from 1 species
AUAGUCUGACAGAAUACUCCCUUUGAUGGCUUUCUGGGACGUAUACUAGAUGUCGUACUCUGUCAGUACCAUUUUCCAACGAGCAACCCUUCCGGUGAGAGCUGGCUUCUCGAAUACAUACUUGACUGGAUCCAUUUUGGAGACCAGUAAGGUUGUGUGAGUCAACAUGUAUUGUCUCAAUCGCUUAGCAGCCCAUGCAAGUGCACAACAUGUCUUUUC